AUCAUGUCUACCUUGAAAGUAGGAUCCGGUUAUACAAAACCUUUAAUCUAAUCAGU
rnacentral:tRNA from 1 species